AUCGCUUCUCGGCCUUUUGGCUAAGAUCAAGUGUAGUAUAUUGUUCUUAUCAGUUUAAUAUCUGAUACGUCCUCUAUCCGAGGACAAUAUAUUAAAUGGAUUUUUGGAGCAGGGAGAUGGAAUAGGAGCUUGCUCCAUUCACUCCACGCAUUGACCUGGUAUUGCAAUACUUCCGGGAACUGUGCACCUCCC